rnacentral:rRNA from 1 species
UACGAACUGUGCGAACGUUAUUCGGAAUCACUGGGCUUAAAGGGUGCGUAGGCGGGUCUUUAAGUCAGGGGUGAAAUCCUGGAGCUCAACUCCAGAACUGCCUUUGAUACUGAGGAUCUUGAGUCCGGGAGAGGUGAGUGGAACUGCGAGUGUAGAGGUGAAAUUCGUAGAUAUUCGCAAGAACACCAGUGGCGAAGGCGGCUCACUGGCCCGGUACUGACGCUGAGGCACGAAAGCGUGGGGAGCAAACAGG